rnacentral:rRNA from 1 species
AGUCGAACGGUAACAGCGGAGCUUGCUCCGGCUGACGAGUGGCGCACGGGUGCGUAACGCGUAUACAAUCUACCUUUUACAGGGGUAUAGCCUUUAGAAAUGAAGAAUAAUCCCCCAUAAUAUCUUAUUAGUGGCAUCAUUAAAAGAUUAAAGCUUCGGUGGUAAGAGAUGAGUAUGCGUUCUAUUAACUAGUAGGUGAGGUAACGGCUCACCUAGGCGACGAUAUAUAGGGGCCCUGAGAGGGGGAUCCCCCCCACUGGUACUGAGACACGGACCACACUCCUACGGGAGGCAGCAGUGAGGAAUAUUGGACAAUGGGCGCAAGCCUGAUCCAGCCAUGCCCCGUGCUGGAAGACAGCCCUAUGGGUUGUAAACUGCUUUUAUAUAGGAAGAAACCAUUCCACGUGUAGAGUGCUGACGGUACUAUAAGAAUAAGCAUCGGCUAACUCCGUGCCAGCAGCCGCGGUAAUACGGAGGAUGCAAGCGUUAUCCGGAAUCAUUGGGUUUAAAGGGUCCGUAGGUGGAUAGAUAAGUCA